UACGGAGGAUCCAAGCGUUAUCCGGAUUUAUUGGGUUUAAAGGGUGCGCAGGCGGGGCAUUAAGUCAGCGGUGAAAUCUCGACGCUUAACGUCGACACUGCCGUUGAAACUGAUACCCUUGAGUAUAGAUGAAGUAGGCGGAAUUCGUUGUGUAGCGGUGACAUGCUUAGAUAUAACGAGGAACACCAAUUGCGUAGGCAGCUUACUAAACUAUAACUGACGCUCAUGCACGAAAGCGUGGGGAUCAAACAGG
rnacentral:rRNA from 1 species